GGUGAACCCUGAAAUCAGAUUCAGGUUGCGUUAUGUGCUGCAUGUGACUGUAGAUUACAAAGUGUGGUAUCUUCCUCACUGAAGCUUUUCACGGGCAUGUCUCCUUUCUCUCUCAAUGCUGAUGAUGCUGUGAAUCCCCCUCAGGUUUGGAUAGAUCCUUCUCGUGUCUGCAUACCUAACUGCUAUUUAUCUUCCAGAGAUGAUGUACUCAAAUGGUGUCCUUCCUUUCUUCAUCUUCUUUACGCAGGGAAAGAGCAUCGCUCCUCUGGGACCAUUUGAUUAACCAUUACAAGGCCCUCCUCAACUAACCUUCUGCUUCUGGAAUGGGCAAACUGCUUUUGUCAGCAUAAUGGAGAACUUGAAGAUGCAUCUACUCUGGAGCUUCUGCUGUAGUUGCACUGCCUUUCAUUAUGGGAAUGAAGGAAAUCAAGAAAAAUGACCAAGAGAAGUAAAUCCGACCCCUAAAAACUCAUCAUGGACUGGGAGAGGCAACUUCAAAGACCUGCUCUACUGUUGUGUCUCAUAACAGAAGAAUUCCAGGCUAUUGCCUCGCUUUUUGAUCUUCCCAUUUUUUAUGUGAAAAGAAUUCACGCUGACUAGAGCCUGAAUAAUCUGACUGCAGAGCAUCUGAG
rnacentral:lncRNA from 1 species